CUCAGGAAAACAAUGCUUGUCUGUGAAACACACUCACUUCCACUUUGAACGGGAGUGCUAAGAGGAUUUGUAAAAAUGCUGAAUUCUCUUGAAAUUGGCACUUUUAUAAAAUAAACCAGAGGGGACAGUUAAGUGCUAAACAACUUCAACAAGCGUAUGUUCUUUAGGGGACUGGAGUGUCUCUUUAACUCAGUUGGCUUGCAUUUUUCCUUAUAGUUUCUGUCAUGUAAUCAUAUAAUGUCAUUCAAAC